GGGGAAUUAGCUCAGCUGGUCAGAGCGCCAUCUUCACACGGUGGAGGUCACAGGUUCGAGCCCUGCAUUCCCCACCA
rnacentral:tRNA from 1 species